rnacentral:rRNA from 1 species
CAGUCGCCGCGGGAAAACGAAGGGGGCUAGCGUUGUUCGGAUUUACUGGGCGUAAAGCGCACGUAGGCGGAUCGAUCAGUCAGGGGUGAAAUCCCAGAGCUCAACUCUGGAACUGCCUUUAGGACUGCCGAGCUAGUAGGUGAGAGAGGUAAGUGGAAUUCCGAGUGUAGAGGUGAAAUUCGUAGAUAUUCGGAAGAACACCGGUGGCGAAGGCGGCGACCUGGUCCAUUACUGACGCUGAGGCGCGAAAGCGUGGGGAGCAAACAGGAUUAGAUACCCCCGUAGUCCCUGUCUCUUAUAC